ensembl:misc_RNA Metazoa_SRP Metazoan signal recognition particle RNA
GCUGUAGUCCCAGCCAUUUGGGAGGCUUGUAUGGGAGGAUCUCUUGAGACCAGGAGAUGUGUGUGGGUUGUGUGUGCUAUGGUAAUCAGAUGCCCACACUAAGUUCAGCAUGAAUAUGAUGACUUCCAAAGAGUAAAGGACCACUAGGUUGCCUAAGAAGUGGGGCACUGGUACAGUUUGGAAACCAAGUGGAUCAAAACUCUCAUGCUGAUCACUAGUGGGAUAGUGCCUGUGAAUGGCCACUGCACUCCAGUCUGGGCAACACAGCAAAACCCCAUCUCU